UACGUAGGUGGCAAGCGUUGUCCGGAUUUACUGGGCGUAAAGGGCGCGUAGGCGGUCCGGUAAGUCGGUUGUGAAAGUCGGGGGCUCAACCCUCGGAUGCCGAUCGAUACUGUCGGGCUAGAGUCCGGAAGAGGCGAGUGGAAUUCCUGGUGUAGCGGUGAAAUGCGUAGAUAUCUGGAGGAACACCGGUGGCGAAGGCGGCAUCCUGGACCAACACUGACACUGAGGAGCGAAAGCCAGGGGAGCAAACGGG
rnacentral:rRNA from 1 species